GCAGUGGUGGUUCGGUGGUAGAAUUCUUGCCUUCUGUGCUGGAGACCCAGGUUCAAUUCCCAGCCAAUGUA
rnacentral:tRNA from 1 species